GUUGUCGCUGUUGUUGUUGAGCGACUGUCAUAAUAGUAAUAAUAAUUUGGAUUUUAACACAGAAAUGGAAAGAAGUGUACAUUUCCAUUUUCAAUCUGUCAAUCCCUUGAGUUUGGGGUGAUUCAUGUAGCAUGGACACAGCUGCAGGCUGGCCUCCUUCCUGGAAGGCUGUGAUAACUGGGAAGUACUGGGAAAAGCAUGCACGCGAGAGAGGGAGUUGGCUGAAGCACUCUGC